CCUCCCUAUAAAACUAUAUCAUUCUCCGCAUACUUCCGCCAUUCACACUCGCACGUUAUCUUUCCAUUCUUCUACUUCAUCAUCUGAUGCUUUGUGCGUAGAUCGAUACUGUUUUCAUCACCCCUAAUUCUAAUUUUUCUGUUAUUUCAUUGCUUUUGAAAUAAAAAAUGAUAAGAUCUAGUGACUCAUCGUGACAUAAACUAAAUCUAGGGCUGUGCAGUGGUGUUUCGUUGCGUUUUCUGUGUAUUAUUUGUGUUCUACAUUAUUUAGUUUGUAAACUUUGCUUUUUGUUAGGGAUUAAACAUUUCUUCUUUGGCUUGAUUUUGUGCCUAGGGAAUGAAUGGGUCCCUAAAAUUCAAAUUCAUCCAUCUGUUCACUUUGUCAGCUGUGUAUUUUCUUGUUACUUGUUGAUCAUUAAAUGAUGGAAAACUUUGUAAGACUACACAUUGACAACAUAUCAGAUCUCUAAGUAUUGUGUCUUUGUAUUGUUUUCCUGAAACAUUUUAUUUUUAAUUUGUAAGAGGUCUCUUCCAAAAUCCUACCUUGUCCAUAGAACUAUCAUUUUAUUGUUGUAGUCAUAGAAUGAUGAACAUCUGUAUUGCUGCAAAAGCAGCAUCUUUCGAGGUGCGAUGAGCUGCGCUUUCCACACGAGAUUUCUGACUAAUUACAACAAUUAUUAAACUUCUUUUCAGUUUUUUGCUAAUCAUAUUAUUGCUAAUUUCUAAGGUAAUGCCCAAAUUGAGAAAGAUGUGUCAAGGUUUAGGCAUUGAUAUUGCUUUAUAAACCCGUCUUAUAUAGUCCAUGAUGAUAAUCCAAAGGCUUGUUUCUCAAGAACAUUCGCAGUUGCCGCCUAAGAGCUUUCGCCCUUCGCCGGGCUUGAGAGCUGAUGCUGCUUUAUUCCUUCCUUGGAUGUCUGAGACUCCAGUUUUACACAAAUGUCACAGCAGGAUUACAAACCUUGCAUAUUACUGGGUUCCUCUCUAUAGAAUACUUUGGAGUUGGACACUGUUGAUUCCUUACUAAUACUGGAUUGUCAUAGAACAACAAAAGCUAAAAUGAAAAAUAUUAGUGAUAAUAUGCGAAUAUAAUUAGCAUUCUACCUGAAAUAUUUGAUCACUUCAAAUUGAACUGCAGUAUUGUUGCUGGACAUCUGUAAUUGCUCCAUCCUGCCUUUGUAACCACCCGACAAACAUGCUGCUGUUGUAUUUUUACUUGCAAUCUAACAUUGAAUGGGACUUUGGGUAUUGGUUAAGUGAUAUAUCUCUUUUCUUCCAGUACGUUGUACAGUAGAGUUGAGAUGGCGAAUGCUUCAACCACAUCAAAGCCUAUUGAUUCAAAGGCAAAUGUGCUUGGGGGAUACUUUUUUAUUUUAUGUGGCUCCAUUUCCUUUUUGUUGUUUUUCUUUUCAGCAGUAUUAUCCAAGCUUCUUCCACCAUCUGGCAAUCGAAUCGUAUCAGCUGUCCAGAAUAACAGGUGACCUUUUAUUAUUCUAUAGUGAUUUUGUUGUUCCAUUGCUGAAGUGCAUCUAAUGGAAGGUAAUAUAUGAGUUUCUGGCUAGGCAUUUGAUGAAGGGUGGCAUGAUUUUUCCAAAAAAGGUUCUUUUACUGUAAUCUUGAGCAAGUUGGAUGUGUUAUUAAUGUGAGAUAUGUCCAGGUAAAUCUGGUACAGUCUCAGUACCAAAACAAAACCCAUCCUGAGUAUGUGAUAGCACACAUAUUGCUCCUUAUGAGGUGCUACUGUUUCUUGGUGCCGCUGACUCUUCCUGUUCUGGUGGUGGCUGUAUAUUUCCAUUGGCUCAGCAUGAAACUCUUCAAACAUGCAUGAAUUUAUCUAUUGAAUGUUACAACACAUGGAAACCCUGAAGAUGCUUUAAUUAACCUUUGAAGUUGUGAAUGCACAACUUUUUAGAGCUGAAAGAAAUGAAGCAGCAGAAGUAAUGGUUUUGGGGAGUGUCAUCUUCACUAAACAAGUUGGUGUUGAUGCUCGUCACCAUAUGCUUGAAAGAUUAUCUUCCAUUAUUGCAAAAGAACUUCUUAAUGGGCAGAAAGUUAUAAUUUUAAACA